GAUGAACGCUGGCGGCGUGCCUAAUACAUGCAAGUCGAGCGAAUGGACGAGAAGCUUGCUUCUCUGAUGUUAGCGGCGGACGGGUGAGUAACACGUGGAUAACCUACCUAUAAGACUGGGAUAACUUCGGGAAACCGGAGCUAAUACCGGAUGAUAUUUUGAACCGCAUGGUUCAAAAGUGAAAGACGGUCUUGCUGUCACUUAUAGAUGGAUCCGCGCUGCAUUAGCUAGUUGGUAAGGUAACGGCUUACCAAGGCAACGAUGCAUAGCCGACCUGAGAGGGUGAUCGGCCACACCGGAACUGAGACACGGUCCAGACUCCUACGGGAGGCAGCAGUAGGGAAUCUUCCGCAAUGGGCGAAAGCCUGACGGAGCAACGCCGCGUGAGUGAUGAAGGUAUUCGGAUCGUAAAACUCUGUUAUUAGGGAAGAACAUAUGUGUAAGUAACUGUGCACAUCUUGACGGUACCUAAUCAGAAAGCCACGGCUAACUACGUG
rnacentral:rRNA from 1 species